GCCCCUGAGCGGCCGCCCCGAGCCUGCCCCGGCGCCUUCUCUCCGGUUCGCCCCGAUUCUGCUUUCCCCCCAGUCUGCUUCGGAUUGCUGUCUCCCGCACCCCACGUUCUCAGCCAGAGGGACCAGGGUGGUGUGGACUGGGGGUGGAGCCGUUCCUUGUACCCACUGUCCCACCUGCCCCCUCUAGCCCUCCCCCAGCAAGCGCCGAGAGAUGAGAACUAACGGCUAGAGACCCAGAAAGGUGAGGUUGCCCCAGGCGCGGGGUCCUCAAAACCAGUAAUCCUCAUGUUGGUGCCGGGAGAGGCUCAAAGGUAGGGAAACUGAGGCUUAGAAAAGGACGUUGGCCAAGGUCACCAGGCAGGGCCAAGCACAGAUCUGCAGGAGACUCCACCGGCCUGUGGCUGACACCAGCAGUUGACUGGAUCCCACACGGGGCUCUAGUCCUGGAUCCUUUCUGAGCCCUUGCCACUCGGCUUGCAGAGCAGAAGCCAAGGUCUAUCUCAUGUCCCCAGGGGCAGUGAGGAGGAGACCGACGACCCAGAGCCUGUUGGUCACAUGGCUGCAGCCCUCCAGCGAGAGAAGUCCGGACGCUGACCCCUUCCUCCCAAGAGCAGCAGAGUUCCUGCCCUGCCUAAGACAGGGCCCUUCCUUCUGGGCACUGGAGGCCUCUCUUUUCAAGAUAACAGCUCGCUGGCUGGACCUGCACUCUGCCGCCUGCUGCCGCUUGCCACCCACAUUCAGCACCAGGGAGAGCGCCCAGCAGCUCUGGCAGGCCCUGAGCUGAGAGGAAAUGGUGUAGGACCCAGGAGAGCCUGCCAAGACAACCUGAACCAGUGACCAGAGGAAGCCAAACUUGAAGGAAGGGCGUACCGAGACCAUCCUCCUCUUCAGUGCCCCUGCUGCUGGGAGCAGGGCAGGCCUGGGACUGUCCCUCCAGAAUCUGAGGCUCCCUGGACAGUGCAGGUCGUCCUGGACCUGUCCCCUGCUGCUGAGUCCCCAAGAGGAUUGUUGUCCACAUCUGGGUAACUCAGAGAAAGGACUGCUGUCCUGUGGGGGAUAGAGUGGUUUUCCUCUGAGGCUAAGUGCAAGAUGAACCCAGGCAUGGGAGGUAAUGGGGCUCAAAACAGCUGUGAGAAGUCACAUGGGCCCUGAGCCUAUUCCCUCCCAUCAUAUAAAUGAGCAGAGCACACAGGACCCUUCAGGGCCUCCCAUGAUGCCUCAGAGGACCGAAGUGGGUGCUGCUGCAGCCUUUGGGCUGCGGUGUACACAGUGUCCAGGCCUCUCCUGGGACUGCCACAAGGAUUAAAGCUUGAUGAAGAAUGCAAAGGCUGCUGGACGCAGUGGUGCGUGCCUGUAACCCCAGUAUUGAGAUCAAUCCAUGUGAGUCUAUUUAAUAGGUAAUAGGCAUUUAUUAAGACAUAAAUUGAGGAAAUACAUUCACGAAUACAGAACCGAAUAGACAGCUCCCAUACAAUGGCAGGAAGCACCACCUCCCAUAUAGCCCAAGAUCAUGGGCAGAGCAAAUACCACUACACUUUAGCAUUAGGGAGGCAGAGGCAUGCAGACCUCUGCAUGUUCGAGGUCAGCCUGGUCUACAUAGUGAGUUCCAAGACAGCCAGGGCUGCCUAGUGAGACCUUGUCUUAGUGCAGAGGCUGGCCAGCAAGGUAACUCAGUGGGCAAAAAACGCUUGCCAUGCAUGCUUAAUGGCAUGAGUUUGAUUCCUAGAACCCACAUAAAAAUAGAACCAACUCCACAAAGCAUACUGUGGUAUGUAUGGGCAGCCCCCUCAGCCACACACACACUAAUGAUAAUAAUAGUAGUAAUUAAUAAUGACAAAUUAAACUAUUAUAAUACAGAGUCUAGGUAUGUGUGAUGCACACCUAUAAUCUGAACACUUGGGAGGGCAUUUGAGUCUGAGGCAGUCUAGGCUACAUACUGAGUUUUGGGCCAGCUGGGGCUACAUGGGGACACCCUGUCUCAAACAAGCAGGCAAGCAAACAAACAAACCGUAUUACGCCGAAUGAAUGAUAUGAAUCUGUAAUCCCAGCGCUGUGGAGAAAAAGACAAGAGAUUGGGAGUCUGAGGUGAUCCUGUCCAUUGCAAGUUUGAGGCCAGCCUGGGAUAUAUGAGAUACUCCCUGAAAAUAAAAAUUUUAAAAAUGCCAAGGGCAA